rnacentral:lncRNA from 1 species
GGGGAUAUAGUUACAAAACCUAUAAUGUAAUAGAUAUUAACCAGAGUUAAAUACACAACAAAAGAUAAUACUAUGGUAGCAGUAAUAAUUGUGAAAAAAAAACCAAAAAGCAACGAGUAGUCUAUAAAAAAACCUGAAGUAUCCGCAAAUUCAAUUUGAGGUCAUAUUUGACUGUAGUGUUCUAUGGCUUUGGUUUGAUACCUCACCCAAUAUGAUAGUUUAAAAAAUAAUUUUAAAGUAUUGUCCUGCAUGACACUUGAUUUUUACCUGAAAUUGAUAUUUUUCAUAAGGUUAAGGUGCUCUUAACAUUUUAUAGGUUGAAAACUUGAUUUUUGAAGUUUUGUUUAUAUAACGUCGUUUUAGGAUUUUUUUUGAUAAAAAAAUCUCAAUGAUUAAGGUUUAUGUAUAAUAACAAACAUUACUAAAGCCAAAACAGUAUCAUUUGUAUUUAGGUAGAGUUUAGAAAUAGAAAAAAAUGUCAAAAUUGAAACCCACCCAAAUUUUCACAAAUUUUUACAUAUGACCUUUGACCUCAAUUUAAAAAAAAAUGUGACCAUAUCAAGUCCUGACGACAGGCAUAUUAUUAUAGUACACGAUUUCCUCUUUCCAAUGAUAUAUUAUGUAGGUGUGUGUUCGGUUGGGAGAUUAAAUUCCAAAAAAUCUGCCUUCAGUCACCGCACUAAUAAUAUUCCUGCAAAAUGAAACAAAAUGUCAUUUUAAAAAAUAGGGGUCCAUGCACUCGUUUUCAAAUUAAAUAAGUUUGAAUGAUAAAAAUCAGUCGCAAAAUGCAUCUUUUCCCGAUAUGUCACAGUUUGACGUCGCGAAAAUAACAUUUUACGUUAGCAACGUCAUUACCUCCCCUGUAACUGUAUCGUAUGCCCUUAAAUA